AUGCCCAGCCCGGCGGGCAAGAUGUGUACACUAGGUAUGGACAUUGAUAGAAUUGUUUUACAUGAGCAUGAAGUUAAUAUUGCUGCAGAAAAGAAGCCAGAACACUGUAGCACAGGGGAUGAAGAAGGCAUUUCACCAAUGUUUCUCUGCUUGGAGAAAAGACUAAAUACACCAAAGAAUUUCCUUCUGUUGGAGAUCAGCCUGAAGAGACUGUCUGGGCUGGGGACCUGCAGGUUGGUUUACACACCACAAAGAGCUCAGCCAGAGGUCUGGCAGAUCCAUCAGAGCCCCCUCUCCUGCCUGGUAUGCAGCCAGGCUCCCUGGCCCCAGCCUGCCAAAAUCUCCUGUGCAGGUGCACACGCCAUGGAAGGCAGUGGGGAACAGACCUGCAGCUCCCUGGGGAGCUCCUCUGCUCAGCCCCUGCUGGAAACACACGGGCAAGGGCUCAGUUCGCACAGCAUUAGCUGCAGCAAGACCCGAGAUUCCAGAUUAGCUGCUGAUACUGGAAUUUCCACUCUCAUUGAAAACAGACACUGCUGUAUCCAUAGAGUUUUCAGAAGAAAAACAUACAAAGCAAGCCUGAGUCGUCUAUUGAUUUUAAGGCACGUGCAGCUCAGUGAGAAACAGCAGAACUGUUCCUGAUUUAGGUCAUAAAAAUGCAAGAUAAACCCAGAGGAAUCCACAGCAAAUGAGAGAAAAAAGAGACUGGCUUUUGGUCCUGCUACUCCAUUCUUUAUGCUAUGAAAAACAAACAAAAAAUAAAUUGCAAGUACAGAAAAUAUUUAUUUGCUUAAGUAAAAUUAUGGAAUGUAUUUGGCAUCAUGGCUAAAC
rnacentral:lncRNA from 12 species